GAUGAACGCUGGCGGCGUGCCUAAUACAUGCAAGUCGAGCGAACAGACGAGGAGCUUGCUCCUCUGACGUGAGCGGCGGACGGGUGAGUAACACGUGGAAAACCUACCUAUAAGACGGGGAUAACUACGGGAAACCGGAGCUAAUAGCGGAGAAUAUAUUGAACCGCAUGGUUGAAUGGUGAAAUACGGCGUUGGUGGCAGUUAUCGAUGGAUCCGCGCCGCAUUAGCUAGUUGGUAAGGUAACGGCUUAUCAAGGCAACGAUGCGUAGGCGACGUCAGAGGGUGAUCGCCCACCUUGGAGCUGAGCCACGGUCCAGACUCCUGCGGUAGGCAGCAGUAGGGUAUCUUACGCAGAGGUCGGGAACAUGGCGGAGCAGGGCGGAGUGUGAGGUAGAGGUCUUCGGAUCGUAAUGCUCUGUUAUGAGGUGUGAACAGCUGUGGAAGUAACUAUACACGUAUUGACGGUACCUAGUCAAAAAGCCCCGGCUAACUACGUG
rnacentral:rRNA from 1 species